rnacentral:tRNA from 1 species
GUUAUUGUAGCUUAAACAUAAAGCACGGCACUGAAAAUGCCGCGAUGGGAUAAAAUUCAAACCCCAAAAACA